CGGCCCCGCCCCGUCGCCAUGUUGUUCCCUCGGUGCUGGACGGGAGCAGCUGUAGUCGGACCCGGGCAGUGCUGCGGACGUCAGCUGCCCGCUGGGUCCUCGACCCUCUCUCUUUCCUCACUGCACCCGGACGGGCCGGCCCGGAGCUCCCGGGCUUCCUCCGUGUGGCUGCGAGGGUUCCGAAAU
rnacentral:lncRNA from 1 species